rnacentral:tRNA from 1 species
UCCGUAGUGGUGUAACGGCUAGCAUACUGAGCUUUCAAAGCUCGUAGUUCCCUCAGAGAUCCGGGUUCGAUUCCCGGCUAUGGAA